GUGGGGAAUAUUGGACAAUGGGGGCAACCCUGAUCCAGCCAUGCCGCGUGAGUGAUGAAGGCCUUCGGGUUGUAAAGCUCUUUUGGUGGGGACGAUGAUGACGGUACCCACAGAAUAAGCUCCGGCUAACUUCGUGCCAGCAGCCGCGGUAAUACGAAGGGAGCUAGCGUUGUUCGGAAUUACUGGGCGUAAAGGGCGCGUAGGCGGUCAGGCAAGUCAGGUGUGAAAGCCCUGGGCUCAACCCGGGAAUUGCGCUUGAUACUACUUGGCUUGAAUUCGGGAGAGGUUGGUGGAAUUCCCAGUGUAGAGGUGAAAUUCGUAGAGAUUGGGAAGAACACCCGUGGCGAAGGCGGCCAACUGGACCGACAUUGACGCUGAGGCGCGAAAGCGUGGGGAGCAAACAGGAUUAGAAACCCGGGUAGUCC
rnacentral:rRNA from 1 species